rnacentral:rRNA from 1 species
CCCACAGGCCGUAAACCCAAGGUUUCCAGGGGAAGGUUCGUCCGCCCUGGGUUAGUCGGGACCUAAGCUGAGGCCGAAAGGCGUAGGUGAUGGACAACAGGUUGAUAUUCCUGUACUACCGAUAACCGUUUGAGAGAAGGGAUGACACAGUAGGAUAAGCUAAGCACACUGUUGGUUAUGUGUGCCCAAGCAUUGAGGCAGUCAAAGUAGGCAAAUCCGCUUUGAUAAUGCUGGGAUGUGAUGGGGAGCGAAAUU